rnacentral:rRNA from 1 species
UACGAACCGUCCAAACGUUACUCGGAAUCACUGGGCUUAAAGGGGUGCGUAGGCCGCGCGGAGGGUGGGAUGUGAAAUCCCCCGGCUCAACCGGGGAAUAGCGUCCCAAACCGCCGUGCUCGAGGGAGACAGAGGUGAGCGGAACUGAUGGUGGAGCGGUGAAAUGCGUUGAUAUCAUCAGGACACCAGUGGCGAAAGCGGCUCACUGGGUCUUUCCUAACGCUGAGGCACGAAAGCUAGGGGAGCGAACGGG